rnacentral:rRNA from 1 species
UACGAAGGUGGCAAGCGUUGUUCGGAUUUACUGGGCGUAAAGGGAGCGUAGGUGGUUAGGUAAGCCCUCCGGGAAAUCUUCAGGCUUAACCUGAAAAGGUCGGGGGGGACUGCCUAGCUAGAGGGCGGGAGAGGAGCGCGGAAUUCCCGGUGUAGCGGUGAAAUGCGUAGAUAUCAAGUGGAACACCAGUGGCGAAGGCGAGUCCCUGGGCUAACACUGACGCUCAGGCACGAAAGCGUGGGGAGCAAACAGG